UGGGGAAUAUUGCACAAUGGGGGAAACCCUGAUGCAGCGACGCCGCGUGAGCGCAGAAGGCCUUCGGGUCGUAAAGCUCUUUUAUGAGGGAAGAUAAUGACGGUACCUCAAGAAAAAGCCCCGGCUAACUACGUGCCAGCAGCCGCGGUAAUACGUAGGGGGCUAGCGUUGUCCGGAAUCACUGGGCGUAAAGGGUUCGCAGGCGGAAUAACAAGUCAGAUGUGAAAGGCAUGGGCUCAACCCAUGUAAGCAUUUGAAACUGUAAUUCUUGAGAAGUGGAGAGGUAAGUGGAAUUCCUAGUGUAGCGGUGAAAUGCGUAGAUAUUAGGAGGAAUACCUGUGGCGAAGGCGACUUACUGGACACAAAUCUGACGCUGAGGAACGAAAGCGUAGGUAGCAAACAGG
rnacentral:rRNA from 1 species